CAGGAGGCCGACAAACCUCACAGAAGAAAGAGAGAGAAAAAAUACAGCUGUGACGAGUGUGGGAAGGAGUUUACUCAGAACUCCAGCUUGAAAUGUCAUCGGCUCAUCCACACUGGGGAGAGACCAUUCACCUGUGACUUGUGUGGAAAGUCUUUUACCGACGCCGGAAGCUUGAAAACACACCAACUCAUCCACAGUGGACUUAAACCAUACAGCUGUGAUCAGUGUGGCAAAGCUUUUGCUCGCAGUAGCUACUUAAAGAGUCAUCAAGUUACCCACUCUGGAAUUAAGGCGUACAGCUGCGACAUUUGUGGAAAAACUUUCAGACAUCAAGGGUAUCGAAAUAUUCACCUACGCAUCCACACCAGACAUGAAGUUUACUGCUGUGAUCAGUGUGGGAAACUAUUUGUAACAGACACACAGUUACAACAUCACAUGUUUACUCACAAUGAGGAGAGACCUUAUAAAUGUGACAAGUGUGAGAAGACGUUUAAAGCUCCACAUUACCUGAGAGUCCACCAACAGAUCCACACCAAUAAGAAACUGUACAAGUGCAGUUACUGUGAGAAGCAGAGCGACACAGAUGGAUCCAGUUCUCAACCCUGUCGUCACUGUGGUGGUGGGAAAGAGUUUCACUGUGACCUUUGUG